rnacentral:rRNA from 1 species
GAAGGUGUGUCGUGAGGCAUGCUGGAGGUAUCAGAAGUGCGAAUGCUGACAUAAGUAACGAUAAAGCGGGUGAAAAGCCCGCUCGCCGGAAGACCAAGGGUUCCUGUCCAACGUUAAUCGGGGCAGGGUGAGUCGACCCCUAAGGCGAGGCCGAAAGGCGUAGUCGAUGGGAAACGGGUUAAUAUUCCCGUACUUGGUGUUACUGCGAAGGGGGGACGGAGAAGGCUAUGUUGGCCGGGCGACGGUUGUCCCGGUUUAAGUGUGUAGGUGUGUGUUCCAGGUAAAUCCGGUUCACUUUAACACUGAGGCGUGACGACGAGGCACUACGGUGCUGAAGCAACAAAUGCCCUGCUUCCAGGAAAAGCCUCUAAGCAUCAGGUAACAUCAAAUCGUACCCCAAACCGACACAGGUGGUCAGGUAGAGAAUACCAAGGCGCUUGAGAGAACUCGGGUGAAGGAACUAGGCAAAAUGGUGCCGUAACUUCGGGAGAAGGCACGCUGACACGUAGGUGAAGUGAUUUACUCAUGGAGCUGAAGUCAGUCGAAGAUACCAGCUGGCUGCAACUGUUUAUUAAAAACACAGCACUGUGCAAACACGAAAGUGGACGUAUACGGUGUGACGCCUGCCCGGUGCCGGAAGGUUAAUUGAUGGGGUCAGCGCAAGCGAAGCUCCUGAUCGAAGCCCCGGUAAACGGCGGCCGUAACUAUAACGGUCCUAAGGUAGCGAAAUUCCUUGUCGGGUAAGUUCCGACCUGCACGAAUGGCGUAAUGAUGGCCAGGCUGUCUCCACCCGAGACUCAGUGAAAUUGAACUCGCUGUGAAGAUGCAGUGUACCCGCGGCAAGACGGAAAGACCCCGUGAACCUUUACUAUAGCUUGACACUGAACAUUGAGCCUUGAUGUGUAGGAUAGGUGGGAGGCUUUGAAGUGUGGACGCCAGUCUGCAUGGAGCCGACCUUGAAAUACCACCCUUUAAUGUUUGAUGUUCUAACGUGGACCCGUUACCCGGGUUGCGGACAGUGUCUGGUGGGUAGUUUGACUGGGGCGGUCUCCUCCUAAAGAGUAACGGAGGAGCACGAAGGUUGGCUAAUCCUGGUCGGACAUCAGGAGGUUAGUGCAAUGGCAUAAGCCAGCUUGACUGCGAGCGUGACGGCGCGAGCAGGUGCGAAAGCAGGUCAUAGUGAUCCGGUGGUUCUGAAUGGAAGGGCCAUCGCUCAACGGAUAAAAGGUACUCCGGGGAUAACAGGCUGAUACCGCCCAAGAGUUCAUAUCGACGGCGGUGUUUGGCACCUCGAUGUCGGCUCAUCACAUCCUGGGGCUGAAGUAGGUCCCAAGGGUAUGGCUGUUCGCCAUUUAAAGUGGUACGCGAGCUGGGUUUAGAACGUCGUGAGACAGUUCGGUCCCUAUCUGCCGUGGGCGCUGGAGAACUGAGGGGGGCUGCUCCUAGUACGAGAGGACCGGAGUGGACGCAUCACUGGUGUUCGGGUUGUCAUGCCAAUGGCACUGCCCGGUAGCUAAAUGCGGAAGAGAUAAGUGCUGAAAGCAUCUAAGCACGAAACUUGCCCCGAG